GGGAAGGAUCAUUAUCGAAAUCGAAAGCCUAGGAGAAAGGGGGGGGGAUGCGGGGCUGUCGCUGGCCUCUUUGGCAUGUGCACGCGUUGGUCCCUCUCCCGCCUUCGAAGCUUUCAACUUCUCAACACCUGUGUGCACCCGCUGUAGGUCCUUCGGGACCUAUGUCUUCUCUUCCGAACUCGCAUGUCUACAGAAUGUGUAUGCGUCGCGUUGGCGACUGCGAAACCUUUGUACAACUUUCAGCAAUGGAUCUCUUGGCUCUCGCAUCGAUGAAGAACGCAGCGAAUCGCGAUAAGUAAUGUGAAUUGCAGAUUUUCCGUGAAUCAUCGAAUCUUUGAACGCACCUUGCGCUCCUUGGUAUUCCGAGGAGCAUGCCUGUUUGAGUGUCAUCGAAAUAUCGGACCGAAUGACUUCGAUGCUGUCGGAGCUCGGUUUCGGAUGUUGGGAGUGGUGCGGGCGGCAACGUCGGCUCUCCUCAAAAGCAUUAGCUGUGGGCGCGAGCCUCGCAUGGCACGGCCGCUUUGACGUCGUAAUGAUCGUCGUGGGCUUGGAAGUGCGUGGGUUGACGUGUCUCCACGCUUCGAAACCUUCUGCGAGUCCGUCCGUCGUCCGGACGGUCGCACGUAUCGAUGCUUGACCUCAAAUCAGGUAGGACUACCCGCUGAA
rnacentral:rRNA from 1 species